UACGUGUACCCGCAAGGGGAAAGUGGCGAAAGGGAGAGGAAUACGUGGGUACCAACCUUCUGGUCGGGGAUAGCGGCGGGAAACUGCCAUUAAUACCCGAUAACGUCUGCGGACCAAAGGUGUGAUUCCGCCGGAAGACGGGCCCGCGUCCUAUUAGCUUGUUGGUGGGGUAAUGGCCUACCAAGGCAAUGAUGGGUAUGGGGCGUGAGAGCGUGCCCCCACUCACUGGGACUGAGACACUGCCCAGACACCUACGGGUGGCUGCAGUCGAGGAUCUUCGGCAAUGGGCGCAAGCCUGACCGAGCGACGCCGCGUGUGGGAUGAAGGCCUUCGGGUUGUAAACCACUGUCGUAGGGGAGGAAGGCCGUGUGAAGAGCACGGUUUGACCGAUCCUAGGAGGAAGUCCAGGCUAACCUCGUGCCAGCAGCCGCGGUAAGACGAGGUGGACAAACGUUA
rnacentral:rRNA from 1 species